rnacentral:rRNA from 1 species
UCCGGCGUUGAAUCCAAUUGAACCGCAGCUUCACCCCUUGUGGUGCUCCCCCGCCAAUUCCUUUAAGUUUCAUACUUGCGUACGUACUUCCCAGGCGGCAAACUUAACGGCUUCCCUGCAGCACUGCAAUGGCCACAAGCCAAUGCAUCACUGAGUUUGCAUAGUUUACAGCUGGGACUACCCGGGUAUCUAAUCCGGUUUGCUCCCCCAGCUUUCAUCCCUCACCGUCGAACGUGUUCUGGUAGACCGCCUUCGCCACAGGUGGUCAUCAAUAGAUCAAAGGAUUUUACCCCUUCCUAUCGAGUACCGUCUACCUCUCCCACUUCCUAGUUAUGCAGUAUUCCCGGCAGCCCAUACGUUAAGCGCAUGGAUUUAACCGAAAACUUACAAAACAAGCUACGGAUGCUUUAGGCCCAAUAAUCAUCCUGACCACUUGAGGUGCUGGUUUUACCGCGGCGGCUGACACCAGAACUUGCCCACCCCUUAUUCAACAGUGUUUCUAGGACUGACAAAAGGUUUCUUUAGCAGAAACCACUCGGAUUAACCUUGUCGUGCUUUCGCACAUUGCAAAGUUUUCUCGCCUGCUGCGCCCCAUAGGGCCUGGGUCCGUGUCUCAGUACCCAUCUCCGGGCUACUCCUCUCAGAGCCCGUACCUGUAAUAGUCUUGGUGGGCCAUUACCUCACCAACAAACUGAUAGGCCGCAGUCCCAUCCUAUGGCGAUAAAUCAUUUGAAACAUAAACCAUUCCAGGCAUAAUGUUCUAUCUGGCAUUAUUCUCAGUUUCCCGAGGUUAUUCCCGUCCAUAGGGUAGAUUGACUACGCGUUACUGAGCCGUAUGCCUUGUAUUGCUACAAUGACUCGCAUGGCUUAGUAUCAAUCCGAUAGCAGUCAGGUCUGGCAGGAUCAACCGGAA